rnacentral:lncRNA from 1 species
AGUGGGACCCGACCCUGUCUCCAGUGGGCGUCUUGGGCCCCGGCUCUAUUCUGGGCUGCGGGCCUGGGAAGGGCUCGCCGGGUGCCAAAUGAGCUGUCCUAACUCUGCGGGGCUGCAGCUUCCUGCAUGAUGCUGGGGAGCUUGGCGCCUGACCCAGGAUCUAGAAGGCACUCUGGGCAGGCCGCGCUCCGCCCACGAAGGUCUGGCUUACCACACGCUCCUCCCCAUUCCCAGUGAGCCGCUUUUUGCAGCACCAGGCGAACACUUACACCAGUGCUUUGUAAAGGAAUCUUAUUGUCCACCCCGUGUCUUGGCAAAAGAACAGUGAUCACACAGAUUCCUACUUGGGCUCUUUCCUUUAAUCUUCGGAGGCUGAGUUUGCCCAACUCAGAUAAACUGCCAGGGAGAAGAAUGAGAAGACAGGAGACAAACUGUUUGGAAAGCUAAAUCUUCCCUCUUAAUGAAUAAAGGUUUUUGCCUUGUCUUAAA